AACACAUUGGAAAAUUCAAGUUAAGAUUGUGCAUUCGUGGACACAAUACACUCAAUUCACCGGGGAAACAGUUGAAAUGGUUCUUGCUGAUACAGCUGGUACUUUGAUUCAUGCUACUGUUAAGAAGCCACAAGUGAGCAAACUGCAAAGGUUCAUAGUUUCUGGAGAAUGGCGUAUUAUCGAGCAUUUUACGCUAACCAAAUCAACAGGAAAGUAUCGAGCCACAAAACAUGGUUUCAAGAUGUCCAUGAUGGAAAAAACUGUGAUAAGUCGCACUCCUGCUGUUUCUGAUGACAUUUAUGUGGAUCUGGCAAACUUUCCAGAUAUUUUGAAUGAAGCAGGAUUGAGUGAAAACAUCUUAAUUGGUACUAUAUCUAUCUUACUUUCCAUUGUAUAUUUUCUUUUUCUAUUAUAAUAGGAACUUCUUCAUGAAAAUAUAAUUUAUUAGUCUCUUAUUUUGCAGAUGUACUUGGACAGGUAGUUAGUUUCAAUGAAAUGAAAAUUCAUGAUGUUAACAACAAGAUCACAAAGAGACUUGAGUGUGAACUCAGAGACACAAAUGAUGAAAGGCUUAAAUGCACUCUUUGGGGGAGAUUUGCUGAGGCAAUGUAUAAUGCAUGUCAAAAUGCAGGGACUGAGAGAGUGAUUUGCUUGCUUCGGCUUGCAAAGAUCAACUCAUUUAAAGGUGAAAGAGCUGUUUCAAAUUCAUUUGAUAUGUCUCUAUUGGAAAUCAAUGCUACCUACCCUGCUGUUCUUGAGUUUGUGGCCAAUUUACCACCUGAUGUUAUUCCACUGACUAUCGAAGACUCGAAGACAAAACAAGUGAAUGCAGAACAGAGAAAAAAGGAUUACUAUGAUCGUUUUCCAAGGAAAACCAUAUCUGGACUCUUUUGUUUUUCUGAGACUGGAAAGUGCAACAUAAUUUGUACCAUAAUGAAUAUCGACACAGACUAUUCUUGGUAUUUCUUUAGUUGCCUCAAGUGUAGCAAAACUGCCUAUAAGAUUCCAAAGGUUGAAAAUGAGAUUGUCAAGAAAGGCAAGAAAGAAAUGUUUUGGUGUCCAACAUGUAAGGAAGACACUCCUAAGGUGAUACCAAGGUAUCUUUUAAACGUUGGAGUGAUGGAUAGCACUGGAGACACUAAAUGUCUUAUCUUUGAUAAAAGUGCACAAGAGAUAAUCGGUGUGUCUGCAGAGGAUUUGCUGGAAGGGAAGUGGGAUGAGGUAAACAAAUUUGUUGUUAUUAUGUAUAUAGACCAUAUUAUUCAAAUAUCUUAUAUACUUUUUUCAAUCUAUCAUAACAGAUUCAGGAUCCUACAAACUUGCCUCAGCCAAUCAGAGAUUUGGUUGGAAAGACUUUCCAGUUUCUGGUGACUGUUGGAAAGGAAAACAUCAAUGAAACUGAUGAUACCUACAAGGUUUCAACUGUUUGGCUGGGUAAUGAAUCUGACAAUCUAGAUACUAUUGAAGAUUCUGACCAGCAGACUGACCAACGUAAUGACCUCUCUAUUGAUCAGGAAGGACUUGCUCUGACCAAUAGUGGUGAAACCACUGACCCUUUAGAUCCUACAUCAUCCACUCCUUCAUCUAAGCGUAGUAUGGAUGCAGUUUCUGAGGACAUUGAAGGUCAGGGUUCUACUACUAAAAAGGCAUGUGUCUCUUCCCUUCUUGGUGACAUUGAGAAGGAAGAGAUUGAAGGUGGCAAGAAUUAAGUUGUGCUGGCUGGGAAUAAUGUAGGGAGCUUGGCUGUAGCAAUUAGUUUUCUAUUUUUUUCUUUUGUUCAAGUUUCAAAACUUAUUUAGUUUUUUCCUUUAGCUAUGUGCUAUUUAAUUCUCAGUUAUUUUGAAUUCAAGCAAUAAAC